AAUUUUCCCCCUCUUCGUAUCCAUUCAGCCUCACUCACGCACUCUCAUCCUCCCUCAACUCACACACACGAAAGAGAAGAAAUCAGAAAGGAGGAGCACAGGAAGAAGAAGAGAAGAGGAGAGGAGAGGGGAAGGAAGGAAAGAAAGGACGAGGAGAUAAGAAGGGGGUGCUCGGUCGCCGCUGAAACUCCACCGCCACUGCUAGGGCUUGUUGCCUUCGUUGUUCUGCCACCGUCGGGCUGCUGUUCCGCCGCCAAGGAGCUCGAAGGGAGUACCCCGUGUCACCAGGUAACCAUUCUCUGUUCUGUAUCCUCUCUUUCUCGCUCUCACUUUUCAGUUCGAAGGUGCGUAUGAUUUUGAUAGUGAUGAUGAACUGCAAUGGCUAAUUGAGAUAGAGAAGUUCCCAUUUCUUCCAGAUACAACGAUUUGAUGCUCAGAAUAUUUUCCAAACACCCAGAUUUGUUCCCUGAAGAGGUGAGUAUCAUUCCCGGGAAGAAAUCAAACUUUUAAAGAAAGUAUUGAUGUUUCAGAUUUGAGCAUUUUGAUGAUUUCACUAUAGCUUCUUCAUGGGAAAGGUUCAUUUCUAAAAUUGAGGCAAUUUGUCGUCUCUAGAUGGCUGAUGGUCCUAAAAAUUUAUUGGUAUGCUUGUUUAAUUUCAAGUUUCGGGAUUUGAAUUUAAGAAAUAACUUUCUUUUUAAAUAAAUUAUAUGUUUGAUUUGGAUUAUCUCGGGUAAAUACAGUUUG